GUAACGCGUAUGCAACCUACCCUUAGCCGGGGAGCAGCCAGGUAAUACUGGAGUAAUGCCCCGUGCGUUCUAUUUGUCGCAUGACAAAUAGAUGAUAGUUUUUAACGGCUAUGGAUGGGCAUGCGUGCCAUUAGCUAGACGGAGAGGUAACGGCUCCCCGUGGCGACGAUGGCUAGGGGCCCUGAGAGGGGUGUCCCCCACACUGGGACUGAGACACGGCCCAGACUCCUACGGGAGGCAGCAGUGAGGAAUAUUGGUCAAUGGGCGGAAGCCUGAACCAGCCAUGCCGCGUGCUGGAUGACGGCCCACAGGGUUGUAAACAGCUUUUACUUGGGAGGAAUAGCGAGCACUAGUGCUUGCAUGCCCGUACCGAGAGAAUAAGGACCGGCUAACUCCGUGCCAGCAGCCGCGGUAAUACGGAGGGUCCUAGCGUUAUCCGGAUUUACUGGGUUUAAAGGGUGCGCAGGCGGGACUUUAAGUUGGUGGUGAAAUCUUGAGGCUUAACCUUGAGCUUGCCAUCAAAACUGGAUUUCUUGAAUAUGGUCGAGGGAGGCGGAAUGCGUGGUGUAGCGGUGAAAUGCAUAGAUAUCACGUGGAAGGCCUAUUGCGAAGGCAGCUUCCCAGCCCAUUAUUGACGCUCAUGCACGAAAGCGUGGGGAUCGAACGGGAUUAGAUACCCCGGUAGUCCACGCAGUAAACGAUGAUCACUGGCUUCUGGCGACACGCUGUCAGAGGCUUCGCGAAAGCAUUAAGUGAUCCACCUGGGGAGUACGGCCGCAAGGCUGAAACUCAAAGGAAUUGACGGGGGCCCGCACAAGCGGAGGAACAUGUGGUUUAAUUCGAUGAUACGCGAGGAACCUUACCUGGGCUCGAACGAUACUUGCUAUUAGGGGAAACCCUAAGUUCUUUCACAAGACGGGUAUCGAGGUGCUGCAUGGUUGUCGUCAGCUCGUGCCGUGAGGUGUAGGGUUAAGUCCCAUAACGAGCGCAACCCUUACUGCUAGUUGCCAUCAAGUAAAGUUGGGGACUCUAGCGGAACUGCCGGCGCAAGCCGUGAGGAAGGUGGGGAUGACGUCAAAUCAGCACGGCCCUUACGUCCAGGGCGACACACGUGUUACAAUGGCCAGUACAGAGGGUAGCCACCCCGUGAGGGGGCGCAGAUCUCUAAAACUGGUCACAGUUCGGAUUGGAGUCUGAAACUCGACUCCAUGAAGUUGGAUUCGCUAGUAAUCGCACAUCAGCCAUGGUGC
rnacentral:rRNA from 1 species